rnacentral:rRNA from 1 species
UCGGGAAUAUUGGACAAUGGGCGCAAGCCUGAUCCAGCCAUGCCGCGUGAGUGACGAAGGUCUUCGGAUUGUAAAGCUCUUUUUGGCGGGGACGAUAAUGACGGUACCCGCAGAAUAAGCCCCAGCUAACUUCGUGCCAGCAGCCGCGGUAAUACGAAGGGGGCUAGCGUUGUUCGGAAUUACUGGGCGUAAAGCGCACGUAGGCGGACUGAUAAGUCAGGGGUGAAAUCCCGGGGCUCAACCUCGGAACUGCCUUUGAUACUGUUAGUCUCGAGUCCGGAAGAGGUGAGUGGAAUUCCUAGUGUAGAGGUGAAAUUCGUAGAUAUUAGGAAGAACACCAGUGGCGAAGGCGGCUCACUGGUCCGAUACUGACGCUGAGACGCGAAAGCGUGGGGAGCAAACAGGAUUAGAUACCCUUGUAGUCCCUGAGCGGGCUGGCAAGGCGCAU